GAACGCAGAUUUUGUUAUAUCGCCCGUUAGUGUUGACUGAGACAGCACAUGCGGAUAUAUAAAGUCCUCCGUAUUUUACAUAAUAAUGAUAUCGUUAGUUGUAUUUAAUUGUGUGUCUAAUAUCUUCGACGUUUUCCGUGUUCGGAUAUUUCUUGUUCGAUUCUUUCCGUUCGAAAUAAUUCGGAAGAGUUUUCGUUACAGAUUAAACUUGUCCGGAGAAAAGUCUCGUUGUCCCUGUACAGCCGUGAACAUCGCACACCUGGUUUUUGCAGGCUUAACUGAAAAAAAGAAUUCCUUUUUAAAUUAAAACAAUAUAAUAGUACGUUCGGUGUAAUAAUGUUAUGGUUUUGUAAAAAAUGUACCUACAUUUCGAAAAUUAAAAUGUUAAUGACACAUUAUUUCGUUUCAUCAUCGUAUAUUGUAAUAUUUUGGAAUGGAGUAUUGUUACUGAAAUAAAUAUAUUUAAGUGCAUGUUUUAUCUACUUCUUUGUUCAGUUUAAAAUUCUCUAUACGUUGUCCCAUGAGAUACCCAUUGAUAA